GAGAGCGACACCACGAAUCGCAGAUUUCGUUUCUGUGUAAAUAACGGCAUAACGGUUAUAGAAAAUGAUUUACACCGGCAUCAAUUAUAACCAUGUGGUUUGUGAAAAGUAAACAAAAGCGGGGCUUCCUUUCGAGAUAAUGGCGCGGAUCGUUCUUUCGUCUCAGCCAGCAUUGGUCAGCGACGAUAAACGGAUCGUUUGUUGCGUUUGAUCCUCUCGCACAUAUACAUCUCUCUUCACAGACAACAAUAUUUCAUCGGUGUUAAAUUGGAUGCACGUCUCGAUCAGAGCGAUAUAACACCGAUGUUUGUACUCACUGCUAGCGCACCAAUGCUAUGGAUUCCGGUUCAAAUGGCUUAUUGUUCUCCUACGAACUAUACAACGCGUCACUUUUGAGAUGGAGUUUCCGUCUUCUUUGUCUCUUCGAACGUACUCGUCGAUGUAUCAGCAGUUCGAGAGAUGGCGCGUUUUCUUCCUUCCCAUUUGUGGCUGCUGCUCUUCCUCGGCUUAGAGCUUCGUACGUUCCGGGCUUUUCUUCAUUUUAUCACAUAACUCCUUGCGGUCGGUCAUCGAUUAGACGAGAUUUUUUAUAUAAGCAACGCCGAGACCAAUCAUUGGCCCCUGUGCUUUAAGGAUGUUGGAAAACUCGUCUGUCGUGGAUUGCCACACAUGUAAAAAUACAGAGAUCGAAAAUACGGCCAAUAGAUGUUGGAGCUUCGACACAGCUAUUUCCGGUGGUUCGUGCAGCAACGAUACGAAUUCUUUGACUUUCAACAAACAUUGUGCCGAGACUCUGGGAGUUUCGAAGCGUUAAUCUUUCCGUGACCGGCUGGAGUCAAGAAUGGGGCGAAUUUGUAUUUUAGUCGGAUAUUUUCUUUUCAUUUUUAUAUCGUUCCUCAUUUUGGGUUCAAACACGUUUGAAAAAUGUGUUUAAAGAAGCGAGCAUCACUAGUCGAUUUCACGUUUGCGUUCUUCCCCCUCCUCGCUCUUUAUUAUUUCUAUUCGGCUGGACUAUGAAUAUCUCUCUCUCUCUUUCUCUCUCUCUCGAAUCGACUGUUUAUUUUCACUAAUUGCUUCACUGUUUUUUCUUUCUUUCUCGUUCUGUCAAUUACUGCAUUUUUUAUUCUCGCGGGAGAGGAGAGGGGGGGCGGCGUGCGUUGUGGAAUCUACACACGUCAUUCGUGCACCGCAAAAAGCUCCGAUGAUAAGAACCACUCGUCUUUCCUACUUGCAUUAUCGUUAAAACCGCACCGCUUUCCCAGAUAUAUGCAUAUAAAUAGAUGUGAUUGUUAAUGAGUUUAAAUUUAACGGGGGAAUCGAGGGUCACGGGAACGAAGCUGAAAAGCAAGCGGCGAGGAAUCUCAGCGGUACGAUUUGAAUCUGUGAAAAUGCUUCGUUCAAUAAUGCAUUUUAAGGAGGGAAAUCGACAAAGUUAAACGAUUUUCGAGACUGAAGGUUAUUGAAGAAUCUUUUGAACCGGGGAGCAGCAGCGGAGGAAGAUUGAGUGGUGAAUAAAUGAAUCAGGAAAAGAAGCUGACUGGUGGA